UGUUGUUUAGUUUAAGAAAGAACAUAUAAUUUGCAUUUAUAAAGAAAAUAAUUUUAGCAACAG
rnacentral:tRNA from 1 species